CCUACGGGAGGCAGCAGUGGGGGAUAUUGCACAAUGGGGGAAACCCUGAUGCAGCGACGCCGCGUGAGUGAAGAAGGAAUUCGGAUUGUAAAGCACUGUUAUUGGUGAAGAAAAUGACGGUAACCAAGGAGGAAGCUCCGGCUAACUACGUGCCAGCAGCCGCGGUAAUACGUAGGGGGCAAGCGUUGUCCGGAUUUACUGGGUGUAAAGGGUGCGUAGGCGGUCGUGCAAGUCUGACGUGAAAGCCGCGGGCUCAACCUGUGGACUGCGUUUGAAACUGUGGGGCUUGAGUGAAGGAGAGGUAGGCGGAAUUCCCGGUGUAGCGGUGAAAUGCGUAGAGAUCGGGAGGAACACCAGUGGCGAAGGCGGCCUACUGGACUUUAACUGACGCUGAGGCACGAAAGCGUGGGUAGCAAACAGGAUUAGAUACCCGAGUAGUC
rnacentral:rRNA from 1 species